ACCUCUAACAAUUAAUUAACAAAAGAAAACAACAACAACAAAACAAAACCGUCCAGCAGCUUCUGUCUGCUCACCUGGGCCUGCAAGGUCCUUGAUGUGGCCUGAUCCUUCAUGUCUUGGAGUCCUGCCUCCAGAAGGCAUUUCUCUAAAACAGCCGCCCCCCGCCCUUUGGGUCACAUCCCUGCUUUGUCUCCUGCUGCUCUUCAGCACAGCCUGAAACAUUCUUCUUUGUGGGCUUGGUUACUUACGGUGCAUCUCACCUCCCUCCCAGGGAGGUACAACCUUGCCUCCAGAUCCUAGUACAGGGCCUGGCAUGCAGAGGGUGCUGAAGUUUGCUGAUUGAAUGGACUGAGACCACGGAACUCUGAAAGACGGAACAAUUAGACUUGCAUCAUCUGACAACGAAGCAAAGGAGCUGACAUUCAUGAAGCCCUUGUUGGAUGCUGGGCACACGCUUCUAGGCUCUGAAGAACAAAAUGGCUCUAAGGGUUAUAGGUUCUAAAGAUGACAGUU